rnacentral:rRNA from 1 species
AACGUAGGAGACGAGCGUUAUCCGGAAUCACUGGGCGUAAAGGGUGCGUAGGCGGCGCGGUAAGUCGGGUGUGAAAUCUCGGAGCUUAACUCCGAAACUGCAUUCGAUACUGCCGUGCUUGAGGACUGGAGAGGAGACUGGAAUUUACGGUGUAGCGGUGAAAUGCGUAGAUAUCGUAAGGAAGACCAGUGGCGAAGGCGGGUCUCUGGACAGUUCCUGACGCUGAGGCACGAAGGUCAGGGGAGCAAACGGG